AACGAACGCUGGCGGCAUGCCUAACACAUGCAAGUCGAACGAGACCUUCGGGUCUAGUGGCGCACGGGUGCGUAACGCGUGGGAAUCUGCCCUAGGGUGCGGAAUAACUCGGAGAAAUCCGUGCUAAUACCGCAUAAUGUCUUCGGACCAAAGAUUUAUCGCCCUGGGAUGAGCCCGCGUAGGAUUAGCUAGUUGGUGGGGUAAAGGCCUACCAAGGCGACGAUCCUUAGCUGGUCUGAGAGGAUGAUCAGCCACACUGGGACUGAGACACGGCCCAGACUCCUACGGGAGGCAGCAGUGGGGAAUAUUGGACAAUGGGCGAAAGCCUGAUCCAGCAAUGCCGCGUGAGUGAUGAAGGCCCUAGGGUUGUAAAGCUCUUUCACCGGUGAAGAUAAUGACGGUAACCGGAGAAGAAGCCCCGGCUAACUUCGUGCCAGCCGCCGCCGUAAAAC
rnacentral:rRNA from 1 species